rnacentral:rRNA from 1 species
UGGGGAAUCUUAGACAAUGGGGGAAACCCUGAUCUAGCCAUGCCGCGUGAUUGAUGAAGGCCUUAGGGUUGUAAAGAUCUUUCGCUGGGGACGAUAAUGACGGUACCCAGAGAAGAAGUCCCGGCUAACUUCGUGCCAGCAGCCGCGGUAAUACGAAGGGGACUAGCGUUGUUCGGAAUUACUGGGCGUAAAGCGCGUGUAGGCUGAUUAGUCAGUCAGGGGUGAAAUCCCAGGGCUCAACCCUGGAACUGCCUUUGAUACUGCUAGUCUUGAGACCGGUAGAGGUGAGUGGAAUUCCGAGUGUAGAGGUGAAAUUCGUAGAUAUUCGGAGGAACACCAGUGGCGAAGGCGGCUCACUGGACCGGUACUGACGCUGAGACGCGAAAGUGUGGGGAGCAAACAGGAUUAGAUACCCUGGUAGUCCACACCGUAAACGAUGAAUGCCAGCUGUCGGGUUGCAUGCAAUUCGGUGGCGCAGCUAACGCUUUAAGCAUUCCGCCUGGGGAGUACGGCCGCAAGGUUA